rnacentral:rRNA from 1 species
GAUGAACGCUGGCGGCGUGCCUAAUACAUGCAAGUCGAGCGAACGGACGAGAAGCUUGCUUCUCUGAUGUUAGCGGCGGACGGGUGAGUAACACGUGGAUAACCUACCUAUAAGACUGGGAUAACUUCGGGAAACCGGAGCUAAUACCGGAUAAUAUUUUGAACCGCAUGGUUCAAAAGUGAAAGACGGUCUUGCUGUCACUUAUAGAUGGAUCCGCGCUGCAUUAGCUAGUUGGUAAGGUAACGGCUUACCAAGGCAACGAUGCAUAGCCGACCUGAGAGGGGGAUGGGCAACACUGGACUGGGACCAAGGUCCGGCCCACACAGGGAGGCAGGAGAAGGGAAUCUACGGUAGUGGGCGAAAGCCUGACGGAGCAACGCGGCGGGGGUGAUGAAGUUCUUCGGUUCGUAAAGCUAUCUUCUUAGGGAAGAAAAGAUGUGUACGUAACUGUGCAGUUCUUGAGGGAACGGAAUCAGAAAGCCAGGCUUACUUACGU